rnacentral:piRNA from 1 species
UGAAUGCCAUCUGUGUUGGAGC